AGUGUAUUGCUUUAAGGGAAAUGGUUUGUGGACAACAGGAGACGAUUCAGGAAUUGAGUGUUGAGCUGGAGGAAGAGAGGGAAGCGGCAUCCUUAGCUGCUAAUGAAGCUAUGUCGAUGAUUUUGAGGUUGCAAAGGGAAAAAGCUGAUUCACAAAUGGAAUUUAGGCAAUUUAAAAUGUUUACCGAGGAGAAAAUGGCUCAUGAUCAGCAAGAGAUGAUGGCGUUGGAGGAUUUUUUGUAUUAGAGGGAGCAAGUGAUUGAGUCGUUGACUUGUGAAGUGCAAAUGUAUAAGCACGAGAUGUUGAGUUAUGUGCUAUUGGAGUCUGAGGUUGAGUAUGAUGGUGAGAAAGAGAAUGGCUAUUUUAGCCGGAACAAUAGUGUAGGUGAGAGUUCCGAUGGCCGCUUUGACAUUCCUUCUUAUGAUUACCCUCCCUUGAAGAGCACUAUAAAUGAGAACCAAAUGCAUACUGAGGUUAAUGA
rnacentral:misc_RNA from 1 species